CACACUCCCUGUCCCCCAUCCACAUCCAUGCUCCCAUUCCCUCCCUGGAGUCUUUGGGAUGAGGAUGGAGACCCCAGGCUGGGAGGCUCCAACACCUCUGGGGACCCCCAGGUCUGUUCAACCUGAAAUUUGUCCGCUCCAAACUUUUCCCUCGAUCCCACCACCUCUUCCUGCUGCUCCAUCAGAUGUUCCCUCACUGUGAUGUCCAUCAACACAGCCCAAAACCCCCAAACACCCCAAGGAUGAAGCCCAAAACCCCCAAACACCCCGAGGAUGAAGCCCAAAACCCCCAAACACCCCGAGGAUGAAGCCCAAAACCCCCAAACACCCCGAGGAUGAAGCCCAAAACCCUCAAACACCCCAAGGAUGAAGGCCAAAAUAUUUUUGGGAGGAUGAAGGACAGCUGGCCAGGGUGACAACUGAGUUGAGGACAUCACGAGACCUUGGGAGCAGCUUUCACAGCGUGGCCAGAACUUCGGGAAUUCAAUUUGUCAGGAGGGGACAAGUUCGGUCACGGUGCGAAACCAACCACAAAACCCUUUUAUUCCCUUUCCAGCCUCAGCAUAAUCCCUGACUUGCAAUUUUUCCAGGAAUUUGGCCGGCUGUCAUGCCGGCUGUCUCAGCAGGAUCGGCGGCUCCGCCGUGCCCGGGGCUCCGGGUGCUGCUCACAUGUUCUUUUUUCCACGGCUGUGAGAGCUUCCUCACGUCCAACCCGUGGUUUUUUUGGGAGCAGAAGGACCCAAACCCAGUCAGGUUUUCUCUUCUGAGCUCCUUUGGGACGUGCAUGGAGCAGGAUGGAGGCUGGGAAAGGGGACCCUCCACACCACACCCAUGGCCUGCUACGACUCCUGCCGUCCCUGUGGACCCACCCCGCUGGCCAACAGCUGCAACGAGCCCUGUGCCCUGCAAUGCCAGGACUCCCACGUUGUCAUCAACCCUUCCCCUGUGCUGAUCACCCUGCCAGGACCAAUCAUGACCUCCUUCCCUCAGAACACCGCUGUUGGAUCCACCUCCUCGGCUGCCGUGGGCACUGAACUCAGUGUGCAGGGACAGCCCAUCUCUGGUGGAUUUGGUGGAUUUGGUGGCUUUGGUGGCUUUGGCUAUGGUCGUGGAUUUGGCUACGGGCUGGGAGGCCUGGGCUGCUAUGGCAGAAGGGGUGGCUACAUCUGCUAAGGG
rnacentral:lncRNA from 1 species